rnacentral:rRNA from 1 species
GACGAACGCUGGCGGCAGGCUUAACACAUGCAAGUCGAGCGCCCCGCAAGGGGAGCGGCAGACGGGUGAGUAACGCGUGGGAAUCUACCCAUCUCUACGGAAUAACGCAUGGAAACGUGUGCUAAUACCGUAUACGUUCUCCGGGAGAAAGAUUUAUCGGAGAUGGAUGAGCCCGCGUUGGAUUAGCUAGUUGGUGGGGUAAAGGCCUACCAAGGCGACGAUCCAUAGCUGGUCUGAGAGGAUGAUCAGCCACACUGGGACUGAGACACGGCCCAGACUCCUACGGGAGGCAGCAGUGGGGAAUAUUGGACAAUGGGCGCAAGCCUGAUCCAGCCAUGCCGCGUGAGUGAUGAAGGCCCUAGGGUUGUAAAGCUCUUUCACCGGUGAAGAUAAUGACGGUAACCGGAGAAGAAGCCCCGGCUAACUUCGUGCCAGCAGCCGCAGUAAGAC